GUAGCUGGACGCGGGCGGUGGCGGCGCCACGUCCCGGUCGGUGUCCGGGAAAAAGUCAGUCAGGCCUGGGAACAGUUUGAAGUAACUAUGGCCUUUACGUUGUACUCCCUGAUGCAGGCGGCCCUGCUGUGCGUGAAUGCCAUCGCCGUGCUGCACGAGGAGCGCUUCCUCAAGAACAUUGGCUGGGGAACAGACCAGGGCAUUGGUGGAUUCGGAGAGGAGCCAGGAAUCAAAUCUCAACUAUUAAACCUUAUUCGAUCUGUAAGGACCGUGAUGAGAGUGCCAUUGAUAAUAGUAAACUCAAUUACUAUUGUAUUGCUUUUGUUAUUUGGCUGAACAUCAUUGGGAAAUCAGAGACUCAGAAGAAGAAAAGCCCAGAAGUUCCUAUUUUUGUUGUGACUGGAAUAUUGGAAUAUUCAUGUUCCAGCAGGCUCAUCUUGCAGUUGACAAAAAAAUGUAAAGUUGACAAUAAAACCAGAGUUUCUAUCUAUCUGAUUUUUUUUUUCUAAAUUGUAGUUGCACUUGUAGUUUUGGGACAAAAGAUCAGCUCGUCAGAGGCAGGAGCACUCCAGGAUUGGAGCACACUUGUUUUGGUUAAGAUAGGUAAAGGCUAUUAAAGGGCCCAGGACUGCUGCCUCUGCUUCAUCCAAUAAGGUUCUCUCAUGAUUCAGGGACGGGUUUUCUUCAAAGUUUUGGAAUACUUUACCAUUUAGGUACAACCUGAGAGUAAUUAACUUCCUAUUUAAAGUAACAGUUACAGCUAACUGACAAAUUGGUAUUUGGGUAAUUUAUUUUGAACUCUUUGGUUAACUAGAAUAUAUCAUUUCUACUAUGAAGAACUUUAUAAGUAACUACGGGGCAGUACCCUGAUUUCAGAGAGAGUUCUAAUUCUGUAAACCAGUUGUUUGGGAGCUGAGGUUUUAAGUUCUUUUUAUGCCGUUGUUUACUAGUUGACCUGAACAGUGAGGCAGGACUGUUAACAUAUUCUCCUUGGUAGCAAGUCUUCCCUGUUUCACAAGGAUUUGUUUAUAAAAUCGGUAUAACUGUUAGUUGGCGAAAUCAGCCAGAGUCACAAACCAACCUGCUCAAAUGGCUGUUCAUUGUGGAGCAUUGGCCUCUCCAGGCAUUCCUUGGUGCAGUAGCAUGCCAUAGGUAUGAGCCUUAGUUUCUCAUUCUGUUGUCAGUAGAUCAUUAAUGCUAGGCAGCUUCGGUUUGUUUGUUUUGAUGUCUUAGGCAAACCUUGUGGGGUUCUUUCCUCAUCCUAUAAUACUGUUGUUCAGUUUUAUAUAGGAAGAGUUAAACUAUGUGAGUAUCAUGUGAAUGUCUGUUACAGUCAUUUAGAGGGGUGGGAUGGCGUCCUCUGUACCCGACCACUUUUAUAAAUAAAGCUGACUUUCCCACUUAA
rnacentral:lncRNA from 1 species